AGAGUUUGAUCCUGGCUCAGAACGAACGCUGGCGGCGUGCCUAACACAUGCAAGUCGAACGGGGAUGGGGAGCUUGCUUCCUAUUCUAGUGGCGCACGGGUGAGUAACGCGUAGAUAAUCUGCCUGACGAUCUGGGAUAACACUUCGAAAGGGGUGCUAAUACCGGAUAAGCCCACGGGGACUUUGGUCUUUGCGGGAAA
rnacentral:rRNA from 1 species